rnacentral:lncRNA from 1 species
UAAGGGUUCGGAACGUGGGCCCUGGUUUUGAGCGACAGACCUCCCCCACCUCAACAUCUGCCGCAAAGGAGCAAGGUUUACGCUCUCUGAGACCUAACCUCAUGCUCUGCAUCCAGGAGGACACAGGGCUGGGGCCUGGGGCAGCUGUCGUCUUGCGGAAAGAAGCUGGGCCCGACUUCAGAAUUCCAGGGAUGGAGUGCUGGGCCAGUCUGCCGCUAGCUUUGUGAGGCCACUCAGAUCACCGGCCAUCUCUGAGCCUGGUUUCUCAAGCAUGCAAAAUGGGAGGCACAAGGAACACUUACUGGGGUCCUCCCCAACACGUGCUGCUGUGCUUCUAGAAUGACUGGAGAAACUGCUUUGGAGGCAGAAAAUGCUAUGUCCCCAUCUCGAAUUAAACCUGUGCUUUGUCCAAAA